UGGAUUUUGAUUGGCUAGUCAUAGCCAAUCAUAGCCCUUAGGUCCAUGGUUAGUGUUAAUGAAUGUAAUACAAGUUCUCUUCAUAAUCUUCUACAAUCUGAUAGAAGAAAAGUGCUGUUUUUUAGAGAAUUUGCUCGAAAUUUCUCGGUUUGAUAUGCAUUUUUGGAAGACGAAGCAUAAUUUCAAUCAUUUUGUGUUUUGUAAUAUUUUUACUAAUCUUGUGUUAAAGAUUCCAUUGAAAGUUGUAUGAAGGAACUAAUAUAUUUCAUAAAUUAUCAAGUCACUGAAGGAUUAUAUUUUUUUCAAAUUCCCAAUAUGACGAAUAGACAGUUGAUAUACCAACAAAGAGAACGAAAGAUCAAGAAAGAAAGGAAGUCGUUGAAGGAGAAUUUAGAAGAACAGACGCUGAAAAAAUGCGACCUCGGGUCUUGGGAGGCUAAUGGUAUCUUCCAAUUCGAUGCUCUACCAAAAGAAAUUUGAAUACGACCCACAGUGGCCAACUUCUGUAGAGAAGCAUUUCUUCCCAGGUUACAAAAAGCGUAUGUAUAAUGUAUGAAAAUAUAUGUAUGUAAAUAUUUUUUUGUAUUUCCUCAUACAUGUACUGCUGUUCCUAUACGGAGAAGAAAAUUUUUGGUCAAAAAAUGUAAUCAUGAUAAGCUAAGAGAAUCGUGGCCAUCGCAUGCAAGUCUGCAAUGAAGCGAUUUGUGCUUUAUGUUAAAAGAUUUUUUAAAACAAAAUGUGAUUGAUUAAAUACUGUGUCGCUUAACCAGUAAACCUAUCGCCUCCUACAAGAGAAGACUUUCAUCCGGUUUCAUCCAGGUAGUUUGCGCAUUAAAUAAACUUCGGUUCUAAAAGUUAGCGAAGGAAGUCCCUUUUUACUUACUUAUGUGCAUAUUUGAUAUAAUAAUGCUUGGUGGUCAACAAAGAAACAUGAAGAAAAAAAAUUUAUUCUGUCAUUAAGUAAAUUUAAAAAUUUAAAUUUAUUACCACUAAUUUUUUAAUUGUUUUUUUUUCCUUCUAAAUUAUACAUGAGUUUGACCGUGUCUAAAAUAUACAUACCAUUUACUGUAAUAUAUUAUUGUCGUUUCCCGAUGGCAUACUAAGAUUUGAGCUAAGUUCUGAUGCGAUUCAUUAUAUGGUCAAAUCAGAAUACAUUUAAGAAAUCGUGAAGAGGCCCGACCUCUAUUUUCAGAUGUCCCCUACAGGGUGUGGUAUUAAAAUCAAGAAUUAAUUGAAUACACGUCGUACGCUGGGCUAAUGGUCUAGAUCAGUGGUUACCAACUGGCGGCCCUCGGACCGCAUCCGGCCCGCGAAGCUUUUUUUUGUGGCCCGCGAACUAAAAUAUAUUAGUUGUCAUUUUUUUAGGACAAUUUUUGUAAAAAAUCUAUAUGGGUUUUAAAUUUUUUAGUUUUAUAUCUUAACAAUUUGAUAUCUGUUGCACAUUAAUUGUUUAAUGCAUAGGUGCACAAUUAAAGUUAUUGAAGCCAAUUAAAUAUUUUUAAAAAUCUACUUCUUAUUUUAAUUUGCAGUUCAAUACUUUUGCUUUGUACAACUUGAUAAAAAUCUUACAGUAAUACUUAAUGUUCUUUCAAACAUACAAGAGUCCUAUAUAAAAUUUUGAGAAAGUUGUGGCCCGCCAUUUGACUGGUGUUUUUAAUUGCGGCUCCCGGCCUCAUGUAAAUUGGAAACCCCUGAACUAGAUUUUAAAUUUUUAGAGAAACAUAUAGCAACGAUUCUUCUAACAGUUAAAACUUAUGUAACUUAUUUUUUACCCAUUGUAGAAUAAUUAGUGAUGAAAAGUUUAUAUUUCGCUCUUCACAAAUAUCAGAGUAGAUGAAGUGGUUUUGCAUAAAUUUUCUCUUUCUGUCUACUCUGUUUGAAAGCAGCAAAGAGAGAGUUUUGAAUCGAAUGAUUUCGGCUUUUUCUUAAAAUUGCUUGAAACUAAAUCUUUAAAUCCAGGAAUAAGAAUAGCAUAUAAGUUUUGAUAUCACUCGAAAUGCAAUUAUUCCGGUGAGUGCAUAAGAAUUGUCUGUGGAAUUGGUAAAAAUGGUAAUACCGAAUAAAUACCGAUUUCCAAGAUUAAUGGUUAGAAAUAAAAAUAAACGAGACUUUUUUAACCUAUAUAUGCCCGGUAACAAAAAUUCUACAAAUGAAAAACACCUAUGUGAAAGGAAGUGAUAGGAAUUAUUUUCUCUAUACUAGGUUAUUAUUCCAUUAUUUAUUUUUGACAUAUUGUGGUAGAUAAUAUAUGUGCUACUUGUGUUUCUGUUUCAGAAAAAAACGGGGAAAUCAUGUUAGCAUAAACGGGAUAAUCAUGUCUGCCAAAAUUUUUACACGAAGGAUUUGCCCAAGUGAUAGAGGAAUGAGAGUUUUAAAAAAAUCAACUCUAGGCAAAAAUAUUUUAAUAUUUCGCCAAUUUUAAACGCAAAAACCUUCACUUAUAAUAUGGAGCUGGUUGGGCAAAGCACGAUGAAUCGGCAAACAUGGCUUUUGCCCAUUCAUCGUGUUCAUAACUGUCAGUUUAGAUAAAAUACGUAAUUAGGGCGCAAUGAUGUUCGAUGUUUGUCUUUUUUUUUAGGUUCACAAGAGACUAAAAUAUCAAGCAUUUUUUUUUUAUAUCUCUAACUAUUCCAUGUUUAAUGGGGCUUAAAAUUAUUAUAUAUUAACUUUGUAAAUCCAAAAAUUAAAUAGAAAAGCUUAAGUUUCGCUAUCAGUUUAAAUGUCACAAUAAAAAUGUCCCCAAAAUCUGGAAGAAUUGUCAAGUAUAUGGAUGACGCAUUUAUUUAUUGAUUGUUGCCCAUUUGAUUCAAUUUCUUGUUAGCAUUUUAAUUGUUAGUAUUUAAAAACAUAUUUAAAAGUAUUUAUCUUUCUUUUCUUUUCUAAAAUAU